GGGGCUGCUGAAGUGCGUCUUUGUCUUCUCAAAGGCUUUCUUGUACUCCCUGUCACUCUGGACCUUGGCUACGUGCAUCGACCACAUCAUCUUGGGAUCGUCCUCUAUGUUACGGGCUCCAAUGUGGUGGCCAAGCUGCUUGCGAUACCCUUCUUUAUACUUGUAAUCACUGGCAAUAUCCCUGGAAGCUUUUGCAGCCUUGAUGGGAAUGGCAUCUGCACGCAGGUCAUAGCCCUUUUUCUUG
rnacentral:lncRNA from 1 species